UUCAACACAAGGCUCGUGUUGAAUCUAAACAAAGGUUCAUAAUCAUCCUUAGGCCCUAAGGCAACUAUAUAUAGUCCAUCAAAUGAAUGCAAAGUUUAUGUUAGUAGUAUCAUAUACUCUUGCUUUAAAAAUCGUUUUAAAAGCAUAGUGGGAGUAUUAUGUACAACUAAAACAAUGAGAUGGACCAAUAGUUGUAAGAGGACCAAAAUUGUUUUAAUAGAGAUUAAAAUGAAUAUUUAUAUGUGAUGAGACCUAAAACCCUCAACUAAACCAAUAUUAAGUUGAUAAGCGAGAGAUGUUUAGAAUAUCUCUUCGUGGCCUUCCACCGUGGUGGGAUCCAAUCGUUUAUGACUUGUACACCGUCUUCACCCUAUCAUGGGGGAGUACAAAGUGCAUGAUUAUACUCAGGAGGAAUCCAUAUACAUAUGAUGAGGUUGGUGUAGGCAACGAGGAUGGCCGACAUCGUAUCAUCGUGAGGCUAUUCUUGAACCCCUUCAUGAACUAAGCAUGGUGGGAAUGACUUAACUAAGUGAAAUGGAGCCAACAUCAUAUCAUUGUGAGGUGACAUUCUCUAGAGGCCAAAUAAGAUGGGU
rnacentral:lncRNA from 1 species